rnacentral:rRNA from 1 species
GGUGAGUAACAUGUGGGUAUCUUCCCUUUGGUGAGGAAUAACACGAGGAAACUUGUGCUAAUACCUCAUAAGUCUUUACGGAGAAAGCUUUAUGCGCCAAUGGAUGAGCCCGCACUUGAUUAGUUUGUUGGUGGGGUAAUGGCCUACCAAGACUUUGAUCAAUAGCUGAUCUGAGAGGAUGAUCAGCCACAUUGGGACUGAGACACGGCCCAAACUCCUACGGGAGGCAGCAGUAGGGAAUAUUGCACAAUGGAGGAAACUCUGAUGCAGCGAUGCCGCGUGAGUGAAGAAGGCCUUUGGGUUGUAAAGCUCUUUCGUCGGGGAAGAAAAUGACGGUACCCGAAUAAGAAGGUCCGGCUAACUUCGUGCCAGCAGCCGCGGUAAUACGAAGGGACCUAGCGUAGUUCGGAAUUACUGGGCUUAAAGAGUUCGUAGGUGGUUAAAAAAGUUGGUUGUGAAAUCCCGAAGCUUAACUUCGGAACUGCAAUCAAAACUUUUUAGCUAGAGUAUGAUAGAGGAAAGCAGAAUUUCUAGUGUAGAGGUGAAAUUCGUAGAUAUUAGAAAGAAUACCAAUUGCGAAGGCAGCUUUCUGGAUCAUUACUGACGCUGAGGAACGAAAGCAUGGGUAGCGAAGAGGAUUAGAUACCCUCGUAGUCCAUGCCGUAAACGAUGUGUGUUAGACGUUGGAAAUUUAUUUUCAGUGUCGCAGCGAAAGCAGUAAACACACCGCCUGGGGAGUACGACCGCAAGGUUAAAACUCAAAUGAAUUGACGGGGACCCGCACAAGUAGUGGAGCAUGUGGUUUAAUUCGAAGAUACGCGCAGAACCUUACCAACACUUGACAUGUUCGUCGCGGCUCUAAGAGAUUAGAGCCUUCGGUUCGGCCGGACGAAAC